AUUGAACGCUGGCGGCAGGCCUAACACAUGCAAGUCGAGCGGAUGAAGGGAGCUUGCUCCUGGAUUCAGCGGCGGACGGGUGAGUAAUGCCUAGGAAUCUGCCUGGUAGUGGGGGAUAACGUCCGGAAACGGGCGCUAAUACCGCAUACGUCCUGAGGGAGAAAGUGGGGGAUCUUCGGACCUCACGCUAUCAGAUGAGCCUAGGUCGGAUUAGCUAGUUGGUGGGGUAAAGGCCUACCACGGCGACGAUCCGUAACUGGUCUGAGAGGAUGAUCAGUCACACUGGAAGUGAGACACGGUCCAGACUCCGACGGGAGGCAGCAGUGGGGAAUAUUGGAAAAUGGGCGAAAGCCUGAUCCAGCCAUGCCGCGUGUGUGAAGAAGGUCUUCGGAUGGUAAAGCACUUUAAGUUGGGAGGAAGGGCAGUAAGUUAAUACCUUGCUGUUUUGACGGUACCAACAGAAUAAGCACCGGCUAACUUCGUG
rnacentral:rRNA from 1 species